GACGAACGCUGGCGGCGUGCUUAACACAUGCAAGUCGAACGAAGUGGCGAACGGGUGAGUAACGCGUAAUCAACCUGCCCUUCAGAGGGGGACAACAGUUGGAAACGACUGCUAAUACCGCAUACUGAAGGAGGGGAUUGCGUCUGAUUAGCUAGUUGGAGGGGUAACGGCCCACCAAGGCGAUGAUCAGUAGCCGGUCGGAGAGGAUGAACGGCCAAAUUGGGACUGAGACACGGCACAGACGCCUACGGGAGGCAGGAGUGGGGAAUCAUCCGCAAUGGACGAAAGUCUGAUCAAGCAAUUCUGUGUGCACGAUGAAGUUUUUCGGAAUGUAAAGUGCUUUCAGUUGGGAAGCGGUACCAACAGAAGAAGUGACGGCUAAAUACGUGCCAGCAGCCGCGGUAAUAC
rnacentral:rRNA from 1 species